CGUGGAGACAGGUGGUGCAUGGCUGUCGCCAGCUCGUGUCGUGAGAUGUUGGGUUAAGUCCCGCAACGAGCGCAACCCUCACCUCUUGUUGCCAUCAGGUCAUGCUGGGCACUCUAGAGGAACUGCCCCGGUCAACGGGGAGGAAGGCGGGGAUGACGUCAAGUCAUCAUGCCCCUUACGUCCUGGGCUACACACGUGCUACAAUGGCCGGUACAAAGGGAUGCCACACCGCGAGGUAGAGCUAAACCCAAAAAGCCGGUCUAAGUUCAGAUUGGAGUCUGCAACUCGACUCCAUGAGGGAGGAAUCGCUAGUAAUCGCGUAUCAGCACGACGCGGUGAAUACGUUCCCGGGCCUUGUACACACCGCCCGUCACACCACGAAAGCCUGCUGUACUCGAAGUCGCUGAG
rnacentral:rRNA from 1 species